CUUCUUUAAGAUUCUCCAUCUGCCUUCCCAGACAAAAACCACACACACACACACAAACACACACACACCCUAAAAUCACACACACACACACACACACACACACACACAGCCUUACAGAGUUGAAAUAAAACCCAAGUGAAGAUCUCCAACUGGAAACAGUUGCUGCCUGCGGAUCUUAUCCAUGGGAUCAGCUUGGAAGAAGUUGGGGGUUGUGUUUGUAAUCUGUUGUUACCAGAAGUCGAGCUUCUGGGAAGAAAUAAAGGGAUCAUAGGCCCUGCGGUCAGCCCAGUGUGGACUCAGAGGUUCAGAUUCAUGUGUGGGGUUCUUCCGGUCUGCCCAGAAGUACUCUGAACACCCCAAACAAGCAAACAUCUCAGCUCCAGGUCUGAGGAGGGGAUUGUCUUUGAAGUGGUUCAAUUAAGGAACUCUUCUCGCUUGUUCACUCGAUGCCAGCCCCGUGUGCCAGAUGUUGUACUGAAGUCCUGUACUUUUCAAGCUGGUGAGUCGGCUCUGGACACAGCAGGAGCUGCUGUCAACGGAGGAACCCACAGCAUCUCCCAGGGCGAAAGAGGUCACUUCUCCUCCACCGAAUCACAUUUGACACCAUUCCAGUCAGCCUUGCAAUUGGGAGGUUUCUGAACUUGGAAUGGUAUUUCCAAUAUUGAU
rnacentral:lncRNA from 1 species